rnacentral:rRNA from 1 species
AUCUACUCAGAGUGCUUGGGUGGAGGUUUGUGUCUGGGGCCUGGCGCGUUCGUUUCGUGCGUGCGCGCUCGUGCUUUGGCGCUUCCUCUUUUGCUCACCUCUGUGCUCUUACUCGGAGGAGGUGACUUCUGUGUCACCUUGAGUAAAUCAUGGUGCUCACAGCAGUCGUGCGGGCCCUGUGCCCUGUGAACAGUCUAUGCGGACUGAAUUGGUUUUGCAAGGCAUGACGAAACAUGACGUCGCUGCUGGUCGCGAGUGUGAGGGCGCAGCUCUCGUGGUUGCGCCGAGCGGUUUGCCAGUAGUGACGUAAUGAUCAAUGGAGACGGUAGCUGGCAUUGGUAUUGCGCGGCGAGAGGUGAAAUUCUGCGACCCCCGCAAGACCUCCUAAAGCGAAGGCGUCUGCCAAGGACGUGUUCACCAAUCAUGAACGAAAGUCAGAGGAUCGAAGGCGAUCAGAUACCGCCCUAGUUCUGACCCUAAACGAUGCCAACCAUCAAUCCGCGUGAGCACCCUAUCUAACGGGCUCGGCGGGCAGCUCCCUUCUUCCGGGAAACCAGAGUUUUUGGGUUCCGGGGGGAGUCUGGUUGCAAAGCU